AAGGAACAGGACUGGACAAUGAAAAUAGUGGCCACCUGCACACAAGAUAUUAAAAACAAGAUACUGACAGUUGUUGUGGGACAGGCAUUUCUUAUGCAUCUCUCCUUUGGUUCCAGAAGACUCCUGUGAAGAGCCAGCUACUGCUCGUGUAUCACUUGCAUAGCCUGGUGCUCACAGAGAAUCCUAAAGUCCAUUCUAAGACCAAAGGGAUUUCAACCCUGAUGAGUAAAUAGAGAAGAGAUUCAAAGACAAGGGGCUUCAAGAUGCUGUUGAUUCUGUAUGAACAUGAAGG